rnacentral:misc_RNA from 1 species
UCCGAGUUGACCCCGGCAGUCUCCUAUGAGUCCCCGGCAUUAUCCGCUGGCAACAUAGGACGAGGGUUGCGCUCGUUGCGGGACUUAACCCAACAUCUCACGACACGAGCUGACGACAGCCAUGCACCACCUGCACACCAGCCACAAGGGAACGCCUAUCUCUAGACGCGUCUGGCGCAUGUCAAACCCAGGUAAGGUUCUUCGCGUUGCAUCGAAUUGAUCCACAUCAUCCACCGCUUGUGCGGGUCCCCGUCAAUUCCUUUGAGUUUUAAUCUUGCGACCGUACUCCCCAGGCGGUCGACUUCACGCGUUAGCUGCGUUACCGAAGGAGUUACCCUCCGACAACUAGUCGACAUCGUUUAGGGCGUGGACUAC